rfam:TPA: Aspergillus nidulans FGSC A4 chromosome II
GCACUAGUGGUCCAGCGGUAGGAUUUUCGCCUUCCAAGGUCACGUGACAUGCAAGCGAAAGGCUCGGGUUCGACUCCCGGCUGGUGCA